GAGUUUGAUACCUGGCUCAGGAUGAACGCUAGCUACAGGCUUAACACGUGCAAGUCGAGGGAACGACAUCGAAAGCUUGCUUUUGAUGGGCGUCGACCGGCGCACGGGUGAGUAACGCGUAUCCAACCUGCCCACCACUUGGGGAUAACCUUGCGAAAGUAAGACUAAUACCCAAUGAUAUCUCUAGAAGACAUCUGAAAGAGAUUAAAGAUUUAUCGGUGAUGGAUGGGGAUGCGUCUGAUUAGCUUGUUGGCGGGGUAACGGCCCACCAAGGCGACGAUCAGUAGGGGUUCUGAGAGGAAGGUCCCCCACAUUGGAACUGAGACACGGUCCAAACUCCUACGGGAGGCAGCA
rnacentral:rRNA from 1 species